UACGGAGGGGGCAAGCGUUGUUCGGAAUCACUGGGUGUAAAGGGUGCGUAGGCGGUCUGUUAAGUCUGAUGUGAAAUCCCUCGGCUCAACUGAGGAACUGCAUUGGAAACUGGCGGGCUGGAGUACUGAAGAGGAGAGCGGAAUUCCUGGUGUAGCGGUGAAAUGCGUAGAUACCAGGAGGAACACCGGUGGCGAAGGCGGCUCUCUGGUCAGAUACUGACGCUGAGGCACGAAAGCGUGGGGAGCAAAC
rnacentral:rRNA from 1 species